CUUUAUUCUAGUCAAGUAGGGAAAAUGCCAAAUUACAGUCAAUAAAAUCUCUACGUUUGUCUUAUACCUUACUUUUUAGGUCAAUAUUGAAUAAACCUCAUUCUAACUUUCAAAAGCAAGGUGGGAAAAUGAACCCUGAUUCUCACUAAUCUUUUUGUUUCUUUCUUAGGAUAGCAUUGCUCACUGGAUCAAAACAAAGCAAAACACCCACAAUGAGUAAUUCAACCUUGUCAUGAUUUUUUCCAAAAACUUGUUUCUUCAUCGGCCCGAGCUCCAACAAGCUAGUCGUAUGAGAUUGGGGAGAAACCUUCAGUGGGCAGUCUGCAGAAUCAGGAAGUCCACUUCCUGGUGGCUCUACAUCUCACCCUGACCACUGCCCUGCAAGGACAGAGUCUACCUUUGCCUGUGAUUCAGUGAAUAUUCACUCUCACACAAGCUUCAUCAAGAAGCCAAAUAGUGCAGGAAAGAAAAUCAAACACCUAUGUUUGCUGCUCCUCAAUAAUCUGUGCUUUGUACUAUCUGCUUUAUAGUAAACUUAAUCAUCACACUAUAAUACAGUA